AAUGGGGGCAACCCUGAUCCAGCCAUGCCGCGUGUCUGAAGAAGGCCUUCGGGUUGUAAAGGCCUUUUGUCAGGGAGCAAAACCCAGCAGCUAAUAUCUGUUGGGGAUGAGAGUACCUGAAGGAUAAGCACCGGCUAACUACGUGCCAGCAGCCACGGUAAUACAUAGGAUGCGAGCGUUAAUCGGAAUUACUGGGCGUAAAGCGUGCGCAGGCGGCUUUGUAAGACAGAUGUGAAAUCCCCGGGCUUAACCUGGGAACUGCGUUUGUGACUGCAAGGCUUGAGUGCGGCAGAGGGGGGUGGAAUUCCACGUGUAGCAGUGAAAUGCGUAGAGAUGUGGAGGAACACCGAUGGCGAAGGCAGCCCCCUGGGUCGACACUGACGCUCAUGCACGAAAGCGUGGGUAGCAAA
rnacentral:rRNA from 1 species